GAUGAACGCUAGCUAUAGGCUUAACACAUGCAAGUCGAGGGGCAGCGAAUAGAUAGCUUGCUAUUUAUGUCGGCGACCGGCGCACGGGUGAGUAACGCGUAUCCAACCUGCCCAUAACUAAGGGAUAACCCAGCGAAAGUUGGACUAAUACCUUAUGUAUUCGUUUGAUCUCAUGAGAUUACGAAUAAAGAUUUAUCGGUUAUGGAUGGGGAUGCGUCUGAUUAGCUUGUUGGCGGGGUAACGGCCCACCAAGGCAACGAUCAGUAGGGGUUCUGAGAGGAAGGUCCCCCACAUUGGAACUGAGACACGGUCCAAACUCCUACGGGAGGCAGCAGUGAGGAAUAUUGGUCAAUGGACGCAAGUCUGAACCAGCCAAGUAGCGUGCAGGAUGACGGCCCUAUGGGUGGUAAACUGCUUUUAGAUGGGGAUAAAGUGGGGAACGUGUUCCCUUUUGCAGGUACCAUAUGAAUAAGGACCGGCUAAUUCCGUG
rnacentral:rRNA from 1 species